rnacentral:rRNA from 1 species
GAUGAACGCUGGCGGCGUGCCUAGUACAUGCAAGUCGAGCGAACAGACGAGGAGCUUGCUCCUCUGACGUUAGCGGCGGACGGGUGAGUAACACGUGGAUAACCUACCUAUAAGACUGGGAUAACUUCGGGAAACCGGAGCUAAUACCGGAUAAUAUAUUGAACCGCAUGGUUCAAUAGUGAAAGACGGUUUUGCUGUCACUUAUAGAUGGAUCCGCGCCGCAUUAGCUAGUUGGUAAGGUAACGGCUUACCAAGGCAACGAUGCGUAGCCGACCUGAGAGGGUGAUCGGCCACACUGGAACUGAGACACGGUCCAGACUCCUACGGGAGGCAGCAGUAGGGAAUCUUCCGCAAUGGGCGAAAGCCUGACGGAGCAACGCCGCGUGAGUGAUGAAGGUCUUCGGAUCGUAAAGCUCUGUUAUUAGGGAAGAACAAAUGUGUAAGUAACUAUGCACGUCUUGACGGUACCUAAUCAGAAAGCCACGGCUAACUACGUG